GGCGCGGUGUGUCAUGUGGGUGAGGAGCACCAAUUGCUAAGGUUUUAGUUUCUUUUAAAAACGCUACACCUGCUUCAACUUAGCGUCGGCUGGUCGGUCAUCAUCUGGCUGUUUGUUCGGUUGUCACUGGGAGAGCCCGCGUCCGUAGGCAUCUGUAUUCCACGGGAUGUGGAAGCCCGCGUGGGGUGGUCUGGUCCUGCGGUGCGUCUUUUGGCCAAAAGCGUAAUCGCUUCUUGGGUCCCAGCUGAGCUGCUGGCGUGGGCAUUGGCUCAACCUCUCCUGGCAUGGUUUACCUAGCCUGUCCGUUUAACCACCGUUGCCCUUGCUGCUGUCUGCGUAGGCGAUGUGCCUCGCCCAUUCGGUAGCCUGUGAUCGUUGUAUGUAGGGCCAACGGCCCUUGACGCGCUGCUGUUUUUGUUCUCCCGACAAGUAUUGUGUAUGAGUGUGCGUGUGGAGACUUGACGCGCGGUGCGCGCUUUGGAACUGUCCGUGGAGUGCGGUUGGAGAGUGUGUUUGGUGACGCGCGUUGAGCGCUGGGACUCUCAGUCGAGUGUGUGUGAAUGCGUGUGUACGUGUGUGUGUUCUAUUUCUUUUGUUUGGUUAAUGUACGUUUGAUUUCUGUUUUGUGUCUUAGUGUAUUGAUUUAUUGGUGUGUUGACCGUGUCGGGCACACCACACCUGUAAUUGGGUCAGCAGGAC